UGAACUUCAUAUCACAAAAUGGGGGAAUGCAUGAUGUGCUGUUGUAAAGGUAUAACACAUAAGACUGACGCCGUUCUCAUUACUAAUAUACAUCCAUUUGAUAGUAAAAAUAAGCGUCCAAGCAGACAUACACAAGUACAUUACAACGACCAGGCACAAGAGAGAGCAUUUUGGGUUGUUAACAUAUGAGCAGCUAUGUAAUUUUAAUGGCCUGAAUUUCUCCAAUGAAUCAGGUAAAGGCUUGCAUUAAUUCAAAUCAUGGAACAAGAUAUAGGAGAGAACUUUAUCACUGUACUGAUUAGCCUUUGUCUGCAGAACAUUAAUUUGGAUUAGAACAUCACAUUAAAAAGGGACUGAAAAAUAAAGGUCAUACAGACUGUAAUAUGUGAAUCUGAAUGAAGUAGUGAACCAAAGUGAACAGAAACUAGUAGAAUUAUGUAAUAUGGUCAAAAUGAGAAAAUUGUCAAAGAACAAAUGGAACCUUAAACUUGUGAUAUCUCCUCCUAAAGAGGUAAACAUAAAUCUCUAAGAUUAUGAGCUUCAAAGCUUGACAAGAUAAUUUACAUCCAUGAUGAAAUUUGUACUGAACAUUUUUUUUGAAGGAACAUAACAAAUAAUACCGUACAUGCUAAUUUUUAGAUGGGAGUUUCAAUCAGUUAUCAAGGGGACACAAGGCGACAGUCCAUAUUAGAACGUGCUAGUAAUAACAAAAAAUCAACCAUAGCAAAGAAGCCACAAGUCAAUAAAGAUUCAGACUUAUGGGCAGAUAACUAAACUUCUUUAAUAAAUAUAACCAUAUUGGGCGGAUAAAUAGACAUAUACUCCUACAAAUUUAUGGGGAGGGGGCGACACUGGAGAGCUCUAUCGGCGAAGACCUGGUUACUGACCAUCUUGCAGGGAGGAGAUGCAAAGCACAUGAAUAAGCAAGCCAACGGUCAACGAAACCUGACACUGAGGACCACUAGCGAUGUUGCACGACUAGUUGGCCUACUGCGAAUCGAUGACCACCCACCAAUGGAAAAAAUGGAGUGUUCCUAAGAAAAUGCAGUUACAGAGUGUUAAAUACAAGAAUACAACCACAAGUAAGCAUAUAAUGUAAAAUGUAGAUAACCUUUUUGGACAAAAGGUUCGAUCCCUGCUUUAACAAAAGCGAUAGUUUGCUGGGUACCAGCUCUUACAGGAACUGCGGAACAGAACAUAACAAGUGCAACCCAGGAUGCAAAACUCCUCAUGCAGCAAAACACAUCUAAUAACCAAGGAACGACGACACACGGCAAGUAACAUCCAUCAAAUAGAAAAAUAGUCACAGAAUGAGCCCAAGGAAAAAAAUAGGAAACAUAGCAUCAUGAAUCCCACUGAUUGCAAUGAUCUUCGGUAUGGUUCUGAGAUUGAAGGAAUGACUGGAAUGUCUCCUGAUAACUCGAGCAAUUCUGCUGGGUAGAACCAUUUAUUUUCAUAUGACCAUAUGUAAAAUCAGUAGUUGAGAAAUUAGGUGCGUCUGUAAAAACUACUUGGCAUAGUAAAAGAAGGCAACACAAAUGAACUAAGGAGAUUGUUCUUUAGUUGCAGCAGGAACUUCAGGAAAAAGAUGUGCAAAUUAGCACAAUCGGAUCAGAGAUUGCAUCUCAGAAAAGGGAAGCUGAAUCUUAUGCAAAACAAUUUUCUGUUGAGCUGGAAGGUGCAAGAAUGGAAGUACGCAAUUUGGAGAAACAUGUUGAGAUAUUGUUUAAUCAGAGAAAGCUUGCAGAAUAAAAAUAAAUAAGCUUACAGAUUUGAAGACAGUGUCAAGCGAGCAACAUGGAAGAAUAAAGGAGUUGACUGAUGAACUCAGCAUAAAAGACCAAGGUGGACUGAUGCAUCUUUCUUUAAACUGAAUUUUCUUUGGUAGCUUCUGUUUUAUGUUUGUUAGCUUUUGUAGAUUUAAAGAAAUAAAUGCCUGCAUACUCUCGGCAACGACUCCCAACAUCCAUCAUGGCUUUCCAAAAAAAAAAAUCACCUCCAAGGUUACUACAAGAAGCAUUAUCGUGAAAUUAAGGAUGUAAACUGAACAUUGAGAAGGAGACUGAUGCUAGAUGGAUCUUUUCAUACGCAGACAUGCUUAGCUUUGGCUGGACUAGUGAGGUAAUAAGCAUCCUAAUGCAGAGCUAACCUUAUUGGACAUCAUAAACUAUAUGGCAGAUAUAUAUGCAACAUAAGAUUCCAAAAUCAGUAAUUGUACAAAGAUGAAACAAACAACAAGAUAAUCAAUCAUGGCAUACCUAUCAAUAUAUCACUGUUAAGAGUCUUCUUUGAGCACAUUGUCAGUAGCAGUUCCCAUUCAGGCAUUAAAACAAACACCUCGUGGGCAAGAAAUGAGGCAGCACAGAAUGAGAUCCAAAGGGAAUUACGGAGGACACCUAAGCAGUGAAAUUUUUGGAGGCAAUCAUCAAAUCAAUAAAGAUGCUAUAUAGCAGGAGGAAAGGGGCUAGCAGAAAAAGGUGACAUGGUGUAAGAGGAAGAGCUAGCAGCCGCAUGCAAGGAGAAGAAGGGCAGCGUGCUUGCUGUGUCGUGUGCAAGGGAGGAGCACGAACUUAAAUACCGGUGGCGGCGCGGGAUGCUCGUCCUUCUGCAGUCCGUGGCGACCGUGGUCGAACCAACGCCGCCGUGACCACCACUAGCAGUGUGGUCGCGACCACCACUUGCAGCGCCGCCGCGACCACCACCUGCUGCGCUGCCCCGACAUCGAGGCCACACGCCUGAUCAAAAUGCUUCGCGUCUGAAUCCAUUCUCGCCGAUCUAACCCGCUGAGCAUCAUGCCGCCGACCACCAAGCCAGGUG
rnacentral:lncRNA from 1 species